UGGGGAAUAUUGGACAAUGGGCGCAAGCCUGAUCCAGCAAUGCCGCGUGUGUGAAGAAGGCCUUAGGGUUGUAAAGCACUUUCAGUGGGGAGGAAGGCGUAGAUGUUAAUAUCAUAUACGAUUGACGUUACCCACAGAAGAAGCACCGGCUAACUCUGUGCCAGCAGCCGCGGUAAUACAGAGGGUGCUAGCGUUAAUCGGAAUUACUGGGCGUAAAGGGUGUGUAGGUGGCGUGAUAAGUUAGAUGUGAAAGGCCUGGGCUUAACCUAGGAAUUGCGUUUAAAACUGUUUAGCUAGAGUAUUGCAGAGGGUAGUAGAAUUUCCAGUGUAGCGGUGAAAUGCGUAGAUAUUGGAAGGAAUACCAGUGGCGAAGGCGACUAUCUGGGCAAAUACUGACACUGAGACACGAAAGCGUGGGGAGCAAACAG
rnacentral:rRNA from 1 species